AGCUCGAGCCCUAAACGAGCCGCUUGAAAUUCUCAACAUCAUACGAUCAAUAGUUUAAUUUGUAUAGAAUAUUCUCUAUAAUUUGAUACAAAAAAAUGUCUAAUAGUUCAAAGUACAAAAUAAUUAUAUGAAAUAUAUAUAAUAUUAUAAUAUGAAAAAAAAUAAUUUAUGAGUUGAAUAUCUAAUCUUUUCAGCCUCACAUGUCUUCUUUUCCGCCUUCAAUCUUCAUAUUAUUCAUUUUUAUUUAUGCGGUCAAAAAUAAAUAAAUUAUAUAGAUAAAUAUUGGAUUAAACUAUCCAAUCAUAAAACUAAAAUUAAAAUUUUAUAUAAAUAAUAAUUUUUUACUUUAAAAAUAUUCUGUAUAUUUUCUCAAGCAUACAAUUAAUAGCAAGGUAGGCAACGACGGGCAUAUGCUGUUACUUGGUAAUUUGGAGAGCUGUCGGCUUUGCCACUUAGGGCGAGAGACAGAAAAAGAAAAAGAGAGAAACAUAUUAAAAAUUUAGAGCUCUGUGAAAGAAAGAAAGAAAGUAAAAAUAUAUAAAUUUAGUAAAAUUUUGCUCUUUUAUUUGUCUAUUGGGUUUGUUUUUAUGGGCCAACAACAUUGGCCCAAUUUUAACUACACUCAGAUUAUUCACUCAGCCUAUAUAUAAUUAAAAUAUAUUAUAUUUAUAUUUUUUUAAUAAAUAUAUAUAUGUAUAUAUAGCGUAGAACUACUAUGCUUUCGAAAAUAUAGAGGAUUUGAUGUUUCCGAAUUUUUGACUCUUUGAUUAAGAAUUGUAUGGUUGGGAUGAUUGUGAUCCCCCUAGGAUUGAAUAAGACCCCUAGGAUUGAGUGGUAUCUACAAGGUAAUAAUAGUAUUAAUCCAAAGAUAAGAAAUAAUUAAAGGGGUUGAUCUAAGAAUCAAAAAAUUGAAAGCACCAAAUGCUCUAUACUUUCG
rnacentral:lncRNA from 1 species